rnacentral:rRNA from 1 species
AUUGAACGCUGGCGGCAUGCCUUACACAUGCAAGUCGAACGGUAACAGGUUAAGCUGACGAGUGGCGAACGGGUGAGUAAUGUAUCGGAACGUGCCCCGUCGUGGGGGAUAACCGCUCGAAAGAGCAGCUAAUACCGCAUACGACCUGAGGGUGAAAGCGGGGGAUCGCAAGACCUCGCGCGAUUGGAGCGGCCGAUAUCAGAUUAGGUAGUUGGUGAGGUAAAGGCUCACCAAGCCGACGAUCUGUAGCUGGUCUGAGAGGACGACCAGCCACACUGGGACUGAGACACGGCCCAGACUCCUACGGGAGGCAGCAGUGGGGAAUUUUGGACAAUGGGCGCAAGCCUGAUCCAGCCAUGCCGCGUGCGGGAAGAAGGCCUUCGGGUUGUAAACCGCUUUUGUCAGGGAAGAAAAGGUUCUGGCUAAUACCUGGGACUCAUGACGGUACCUGAAGAAUAAGCACCGGCUAACUACGUGCCAGCAGCCGCCGUAAAAC